GAUGAAGAACGUAGUGAAAUGCGAUAAGUAAUGUGAAUUGCAGAAUUCAGUGAAUCAUCGAAUCUUUGAACGCACAUUGCGCCCGCCAGUAUUCUGGCGGGCAUGCCUGUCUGAGCGUCAUUUCAACCCUCAUGCCCCUAGGGCGUGGUGUUGGGGAUCGGCCAAAGCCCGCGAGGGACGGCCGGCCCCUAAAUCUAGUGGCGGACCCGUCGUGGCCUCCUCUGCGAAGUAGUGAUAUUCCGCAUCGGAGAGCCAUGAGCCCCUGCCGUUAAACCCCCAACUUUCCAAGGUUGACCUCAGAUCAGGUAGGAAUACCCGCUGAACUUAAGCAUAUCAAUAAGCGGAGGA
rnacentral:misc_RNA from 1 species